rnacentral:rRNA from 1 species
UGGGGAAUAUUGCACAAUGGGGGAAACCCUGAUGCAGCAACGCCGCGUGAAGGAAGACGGUUUUCGGAUUGUAAACUUCUUUUCUUAGUGAAGAAGCAAGUGACGGUAGCUAAGGAAUAAGCAUCGGCUAACUACGUGCCAGCAGCCGCGGUAAUACGUAGGAUGCGAGCGUUAUCCGGAAUUACUGGGUGUAAAGGGAGCGCAGGCGGGACUGCAAGUUGGAUGUGGAAUACCGCAGCUUAACUGCGGAGCUGCAUCCAAAACUGUAGUUCUUGAGUGGAGUAGAGGCAAGCGGAAUUCCGAGUGUAGCGGUGAAAUGCGUAGAUAUUCGGAGGAACACCAGUGGCGAAGGCGGCUUGCUGGGCUCUAACUGACGCUGAGGCUCGAAAGUGUGGGGAGCAAACAGGAUUAGAUACC